GUCUAGAGGCCUAGGACACUGCCCUUUCACGGCGGCAACAGGGGUUCGAAUCCCCUA
rnacentral:tRNA from 14 species